rnacentral:rRNA from 1 species
GACGAACGCUGGCGGCGUGCCUAAUACAUGCAAGUCGAGCGGACCGACGGGAGCUUGCUCCCUUAGGUCAGCGGCGGACGGGUGAGUAACACGUGGGUAACCUGCCUGUAAGACUGGGAUAACUCCGGGAAACCGGGGCUAAUACCGGAUGCUUGAUUGAACCGCAUGGUUCAAUCAUAAAAGGUGGCUUUUAGCUACCACUUGCAGAUGGACCCGCGGCGCAUUAGCUAGUUGGUGAGGUAACGGCUCACCAAGGCGACGAUGCGUAGCCGACCUGAGAGGGUGAUCGGCCACACUGGGACUGAGACACGGCCCAGACUCCUACGGGAGGCAGCAGUAGGGAAUCUUCCGCAAUGGACGAAAGUCUGACGGAGCAACGCCGCGUGAGUGAUGAAGGUUUUCGGAUCGUAAAACUCUGUUGUUAGGGAAGAACAAGUACCGUUCGAAUAGGGCGGCACCUUGACGGUACCUAACCAGAAAGCCACGGCUAACUACGUGCCAGCAGCCGCGGUAAUACGUAGGUGGCAAGCGUUGUCCGGAAUUAUUGGGCGUAAAGCGCGCGCAGGCGGUUUCUUAAGUCUGAUGUGAAAGCCCCCGGCUCAACCGGGGAGGGUCAUUGGAAACUGGGGAACUUGAGUGCAGAAGAGGAGAGUGGAAUUCCACGUGUAGCGGUGAAAUGCGUAGAGAUGUGGAGGAACACCAGUGGCGAACGCGACUCUCUGGUCUGUAACUGACGCUGAGCGCGAAAGCGUGGGGAGCGAACAGGAUUAGAUACCCUGUAGUCCACGCCGUAACGAUGAGUGCUAGUGUUAGAGGGUUUCGCCUUUAGUGCUGCAGCAACGCAUAGCACUCGCUGGGAGUACGUCGCAGACUGAACUCAAGGAA